rnacentral:rRNA from 1 species
UACGAAGGGGGCUAGCGUUGCUCGGAAUCACUGGGCGUAAAGCGCACGUAGGCGGCUUUUUAAGUCAGGGGUGAAAUCCCGGAGCUCAACUCCGGAACUGCCCUUGAUACUGAGAAGCUCGAGUUCGGGAGAGGUGAGUGGAACUGCGAGUGUAGAGGUGAAAUUCGUAGAUAUUCGCAAGAACACCAGUGGCGAAGGCGGCUCACUGGCCCGAUACUGACGCUGAGGUGCGAAAGCGUGGGGAGCAAACAGG